AGAAGGUUAAAAGGGCCUUAGAUUUUAACGAAACCACAUCCAUUUUUACCGAUGUGUCCCGGGGCCCGUGCCUCGCUCAGUGUCACAUGGUUCAAGAAACAGGGCAGAGUUCAAGUACGGCUCUGUCAGUGAAGUCACUGCCCAUUAUUUAACGAUUUCCACGUCCUUGGGCAUUCGAGGUGGCCAUUUAACCAGUCAAGCAACACGUACGCACUCUCUCUCCAAACGCUUAAAUGCCUUGAGAUAGUUUCUUUUCUUGUUAUUACUGUGAGAUUCCUUCUUUUAACGUGAAUCUACAGUUGAAGCAGCAUUUUGUUUUCCCCACCUCAAAGACUGGACUGGAAAACCAGCAGCAGCCGAGAGGCUGCGCCCCCGGCCCCCAUCGGGAAGCUCCCGCGCCUGCACCCGCACCGCACCCCGAAACUGCGCCAAACAACCCAGCAUGGCCAGGCCGACAGCGCUGAGAUCAAAAAGCACUGAGAACUGGCCACCCAACCCAGAGCGGGCACCGGGGACGACUAACUUGCCGUUGCUGUUACUAACCAAAGGUAACCAGAAUAGAGGAAAGCAGGAUACUGCUGCAAGACCGGGAAAACCCCACGCUCACUCUUCCCGGCGUCGGAAAGAGCCUUCCUGACUUCCGGCGGAGGUUCGCUGUCCUCGCACGGUUUUAUGGGAAAUGUAGUUUGAGGAUCACAAACUGUGCGUGAUCCGUGAAGGGGAGGGGCUUGGGGGUGAACGCGUUCGGGAGCCUGGGCGGGGAGGUCACUGCUGUUAAGGUCCAGCUUCUUGGUGGUGAGUCAGGGGCUGGUUUUCCUUUUCGUCAUGCCGAGACAUGUGAAGUGUGGUGCGGACGAUGGAAAACCGUAGGUUCCACAGCAGAUUGGUGAGAGGUCCACAGCUUCGUUGCCUCUCCCAUAGCCAUGGUCCACUCUCUGGAAUUUGAAAAGGAGGCUUGAGGCAGGAUUUCAGCAAGACCUCCCAGUUUUGUGUGUUUGGAGCUGAGAGAAGUUUGCUGAAGUAUGUCGGCUACAAACUUUCCUGUGGUUAUUUCAAUGUUUAGCUACUGUGUAUGUCUUCCUUACUCAAAGUGUGACUCAGUAUGAACCAUGGAUGCUGGUGAAAAAUGCAGAAUUCCAGACUCAUCUCUGACCUACUGAAUCAGAAUCUACAAUUUAAUGAGAUCCUCAGCUGGCCAUACAUGAAAAGCACGAGCUCUCAGAAGCAGUAACUCUGGGAGUGGCACCAUUGGCAGCAUCUGGCUCAUCACUGACCUGGAGACUCUGGCUCUGUAUAGCAGCCCAUCUACACAAACACACCUAUGAUUGACCCACAAAAUGAACUCACUCCAUGAGUGAGACUGAAUGACUUGAAUGGGCCCGGGGUAGUAACGUGUGCACAGAAAUCUCUAACGUAUUUUUCUUUUUUGAAGCUGUGAACACCACUUGUCAUAAUAAAGAAUUUUCUUUUCAUUUGCAAGAUUUCUCUCUGCCUCUGACUUCUCCAUGUUUCCUCUCUGCUACAUUAGCCCUGAAUGAGCUGUAAAUGGGAUAAUGUGGAGCAUGGGAAGGAUAAGAUGUUCAAGGCGAGCAAGGCAGGGAGGGGAUGAUUCUUUUCACAGCUGAUCUUCUAAUGACUUGUUCAGUCUUCCAGGUGGCUGGCCCCGUCAUCAGUACUAGCACUUUAGACAGUGUACCCUUCCAGCUACUAGUAUCUUUGUCAUACCUACAGUUGCAUCCAAUGCCAGUCUGACAGGGCAGUGUUGCCGGAAUUUUUCUAAUCUCAGGUACAAAAGCAAAGCAAAACAGUUAUAUGAUAAAUGGAUCAGAGCCAUCUCCUAUCUCUCCUUGGAAGGGAGUACUUAUUUUUCUUUAUUCCUCGGACAAAUAAGGGUGAAAUAAGGCAGGCUUGUCGUGGGGAACGAGAUGAAUCAAAGAAUUUCCUUACGUUUCGAUCAAUACCAAAUGCUUUGACAUAUGUUUUCCACUGGGAGGGUGGAACUGGGGUUGUCAUAGAGUAAUUAGAGGCUGGUGUACUGAGCAUUGUUUAUGCCCUUCAACCAAAUACCACAAGUAGUAAGCCUUUUUGUGUGUCUGUCUGGCAGGGUUUUUCCUUCCUGGGGGUGAUGGAGAAAUGUCUACAGAUGUUUUCUACAGAUGUCUCCCAGUGGGGGCUCCCUUUUACUGAUGGCUUUCUUGUCACCUGCUUCCUUUCUUCCUUCUCAAAUCUUUCCAUUUCCUUCCAGUGAGCUUUUUGCUGCUGUCCUGUCUCUCAUGCCUGCCUCCUGGAUCCCUUGCGUCUGACUUAGCUUUGCCCCCUCUUCUUCCUUGCACCUGCAAUGUGGCAAGAAGACUGACUGUUCUUUUCCAGAUCUCUUGUCAAAACUCCUUUUUGGAAAAUGUUUUCAGUAGAGUAUCACAGUCAGUGCAUUUCUGAAAAUUAAUAGUUGGGUAUUCAAAAGGAGAAAAAAUAUAUACACGCAUAUGUAAAAUAAAAAUAGUGUCUUUAAACUAUGCACUAAUUGUGAACCAUAUACUGCACUCAGUGUGUUCACUUAAUAAAUAUUUGCUGACUUAAAGGGCCUGCAAAUCUAGAUUUGGAAAGAAAUUUUCCUGACCUACAAUAAAACAGUAUAUGAAAAAGUAAAUAAAUAUGUUACUAAAAAUCAAAAGUUGGUCCAUCAGGGUUGAAGCUGUAUUUUGUCCUACAAAUAUGAUUACCACUAGACACAUUACUAUUAUACUAGGAAGAAUAGGAAAGUCCAAUUAAAAAAAAAAGAACAGCUGGUGGGUCAGAUAAGUUAUCUUGUCAAUAGUUAGAUUUUUUAAAGUAUUUUGCAAAAAAAUAAUAUAUAGUAUAUAGUAUUUUAAAUUUGUUUAGAUCCCCUGGAAAACUAUUUUUCUUUUACUUCUUUGUAUUUUUAUUUCUCCUGUAGGUUUUUCUGCAAAAGGUACUGUUUUGCCAUUCAUUAUCCUCAUAUUAUUGCUAACUUCUAUUCCCUAAUAUUUCUAUAAUUCCAGUCAAAUUGUACAGGCCCAGAGUUUAAACAAAUGUUUUUAAAACGGUAAUUUAUAUUACUUUUUGUGGUCAAAUGUGAAUACAUAACAAAGAUUUAUCAUUUAUUGUUUUUAUUCUUUUAAAAAAAAUUUAUGUUUAUUUAGUUUUUGAGAGAGAGAGAGCAUGAGUGGCGGAGGGGCACAG